CCUACGGGUGGCAGCAGUGGGGAAUAUUGCGCAAUGGGCGAAAGCCUGACGCAGCGACGCCGCGUGAGGGAUGAAGGUCUUCGGAUCGGAAACCUCUGUCAGCAGGGAAGAAAGGUCACGGUGCUAAUCAGCAGUGAAUGGACGGUACCUGCAAAGGAAGGACCGGCUAACUCCGUGCCAGCAGCCGCGGUAAUACGGAGGUUGCGAGCGUUAAGCGGAUUUACUGGGCGUAAAGCGCUCGUAGGCGGUAUGUCAAGUCAAGGGUGAACUCCCCGCGCUCAACGUGGGAACUGCCUUUGAAACUGGCAAACUGGAGUGUGUUAGAGGUUAGUGGAAUUCCCGGUGUA
rnacentral:rRNA from 1 species